rnacentral:rRNA from 1 species
UACGUAGGGUGCAAGCGUUAAUCGGAAUUACUGGGCGUAAAGCGUGCGCAGGCGGUUGUGCAAGACCGAUGUGAAAUCCCCGGGCUUAACCUGGGAAUGGCAUUGGUGACUGCACGGCUAGAGUGUGUCAGAGGGGGGUAGAAUUCCACGUGUAGCAGUGAAAUGCGUAGAGAUCCGUAGGAACACCAAUGGCGAAGGCAGCUUGCUGGGCCGACCCUGACGCUAAGGCACGAAAGCGUGGGGAGCGAACAGG